rnacentral:tRNA from 2 species
UGAGCUAAGCGGGCCCACAUCACAGAAAUCUUAUAUGCAUAGUAAUUGAC